UUGAGUCCAAGAUUUAUCGGACCAUAUGAGAUUAUAGAAAGAAUUGGACCAGUUGCUUACCGAUUGGCUUUACCACCGGAACUCGACAAAAUUCAUAAUGUAUUUCAUGUAUCUAUGCUACGACGGUAUCGAUCAGAUCCUUCACAUGUUAUUACUCCAACAGAAGUAGAAAUUCAGCCGGAUAUGACUUAUAAUGAAGAACCGGUUAAAGUAUUAGCACGAGAAACAAAGGAGCUUAGAAACAAAAAGGUAAAUUUGGUGAAAGUGCUAUGGCAAAAGCACGGGAUUGAGGAAGCAACAUGGGAACCGGAAGAGACAAUGAGGAAGCAAUACCCGAAUCUCUUUACUGAUCAAGAAGUACGAAACUCGAGGUUAGACAAAGGGAAGAAUAAAGUUGAAGACUAAGUUGGUGAAUUUGGCUAUAAUUGGUACCGAGUAUUGCAAAGCUACUUCAAGGAUCCUAAAGAAGUCGGAGAUCGUCCACACUAUCAACCACAACCGCUUUCGGUAUUUUAUAUCGAAUCACGUUUGAGUUAUGGCAUGUAUAGG